rnacentral:tRNA from 1 species
CUCAAAACACAAAACAAAGAGGGGA